AUGUCUGGGCGCGGCAAGGGCGGCAAGGGGCUGGGCAAGCCGGCGAUCCGGAGGCUGGCGAGGAGGGGCGGCGUGAAGCGCAUCUCCGGCCUCAUCUACGAGGAGACCCGCGGCGUCCUCAAGAUCUUCCUCGAGAACGUCAUCCGCGACGCCGUCACCUACACCGAGCACGCCCGCCGCAAGACCGUCACCGCCAUGGACGUCGUCUACGCCCUCAAGCGCCAGGGCCGCACCCUCUACGGCUUCGGAGGCUAG
rnacentral:rRNA from 1 species